rnacentral:rRNA from 1 species
GAUGAACGCUGGCGGCGUGCCUAGUACAUGCAAGUCGAGCGAACGGACGAGAAGCUUGCUUCUCUGAUGUUAGCGGCGGACGGGUGAGUAACACGUGGAUAACCUACCUAUAAGACUGGGAUAACUUCGGGAAACCGGAACUAAUACCGGAUGAUAUUUUGAACCGCAUGGUUCAAAAGUGAAAGACGGUCUUGCUGUCACUUAUAGAUGGAUCCGCGCUGCAUUAGCUAGUUGGUAAGGUAACGGCUUACCAAGGCAACGAUGCAUAGCCGACCUGAGAGGGUGAUCGGCCACACUGGAACUGAGACACGGUCCAGACUCCUACGGGAGGCAGCAGUAGGGAAUCUUCCGCAAUGGGCGAAAGCCUGACGGAGCAACGCCGCGUGAGUGAUGAAGGUCUUCGGAUCGUAAAACUCUGUUAUUAGGGAAGAACAUAUGUGUAAGUAACUGUGCACAUCUUGACGGUACCUAAUCAGAAAGCCACGGCUAACUACGUG